AGAAGAGGAUCGUGGUGACCUGACCUAGAGCAUGAAUAAUUACUCCUUCAUCGACGAGGUUUCCAGCUUUCCCUCCAGUCCCACAUCGCACAGAAGCACAACGUUUGAGGAUUUUAUCAGAAACAGGUCGAUAGUGUUUUUCUACCCUCUGGAGAGCUUCCUUCCGCCGCCUCUGUCCUCCGACCUCUUGUCCAUCCUGACCUCACUCUACGUCCUGGUCAUCGUGGCGGCGGCGGUGGCCAACACUCUGGUUGUCGUGGUGGUAGUGCGGGGCAGGAUGCUGGGCUCCUUCACAGACACCUUCAUCCUGUCGCUGUCCGCGAGUGACCUGCUGGUGGCGGGCAUCAACAUGCCCAUUAGACUCGUCAGCAUAGUGGACAACGAGUGGCGACUUGGCCUUGCGCCUGCAAGAUGACGGAAUAUCUCACUGGCAUCACCAUCAUCAACAACAUCCUCACUCUCACAGCCAUCGCCAUCGACAGGUACCUCGUGAUCUGCCGAGAGCAGCUGUACCGGCGCGUGAAAGGCCGGAAGUGGAAGGUGAUUGGUCUGUUGCUGGUGUGGGUGCUGCCUGUCCUGGCCAUCUCCCCGCAGCUGGUGAUCACGGGCAUGGCCAUGAGGGUGAAGCGCAACGACUCCGGGACCAUCACGGGGCUGGCGUGGGUGUGCGUGGAGACCUUCUCCAAAAGGACAACAACCGCCACGUCUACACCUUUACCAUCGCCGCCUGCUUCUACCUCCUCCCUCUCUCGGUCAUGGGCUUCUGCUACGGUGCCAUCGUCCGCAAGGUGUGGUCCCGCCGCAACAUUCCCCAGGUCGUGACCGCAGGUCGCCUCAACCCACAGACCGGCGUGGCUCGCCGGAAGCGCGUGACGGCCAUGUUGGUGACGUUGGUCAUGGCCUUCACCUUGCUGUGGCUGCCCUUCUUCUCGGCCUCGUUGUACGUGGAGUUUGGCGGCAACUCCUACAAGCCCAGUGUUCGUGCUGCUCGAGCUUUCUUACAGUUGACUGGCUACUGCACCUGCUGCGUCAACCCCAUCAUCUACAGCUUCUUCAGCCGCAGGUUCCAGGAUCACCUGUGCGACCUGUUUUGUCGGUCGCUGUCUUCUAGAGUACAUCCCAUAGGUAACCCCCCUGAACUCCAGAUGACCCCGGCACACAAUCAAGGCGGGCGUGAAAACCUCGCGAACCUCCCGACGUCCGUGAGUCGUGACGAGGAAACCGAGGUGCAGACCAUCACACAGGACAACAACAACUGAACUACAUGCCAGAUGUGAACACACAAACUGUCAUCAGUUAACACAUUUGGUCUCGCGCUCUUUUAUGUUGUCGACACUGCUGAUCAAUAUUCCUGUUUUCCCACCUGCCUUGAUUAAAGUAAUUGUUCAAUAUAAUUACUGUCAAAGAAAUUAUUGUCGUCGAAGAAUCUGUACUCAUUUUUUUAAGAAGAUUUGCGAGGGUAAUAUUGAACUUGGUGUUUGUGAUUAAAGGGAAGACAUCCAUGUGUAGUUAGGGAAACAAUUCAGAAUGGGUUUUCGUGUCCGUGUGUUGUUAAUCAAUUUUCUUUCAUAAUUAAUUGUAAACUCAACAGAAGUCGUUUUCUUUUGGCUCAAUAUUUGUAGAGGUUCAGUAUUUAUUUCCUGUUACUUAAACCGUGUGGUAUGUUUCGUAAUGUUAAAUCGUUUCUUGUACUGAAAUAAAAUAUUAUAUUUGUCGCUUGUCCCUUUAUCAUCUCACUGUUCAAAUGUAAUUUAAUCGUUAUCUGUAGAAUAGAAUUCUCAAAUACAAGUGUUCAUAUAUUAAAAUAGCUUCUUUCGGAGAUCAUUUUUAAACUCAUUUUUGCAAAUUUUAAAAUUGGUUUAACCUUAACUGUAGGUUUUCGUAAACCAGAUUCCAUGACCUUUAAGUCUGACGGAAGGUAGAAGUCCUAAGUGUGUAGAGGUCGUGUUUAUUCAAAACAGUUUUUUCA